GAUGAACGCUGGCGGCGUGCUUAACACAUGCAAGUCGAACGAAGCACUUUAUUUGAUUUCCUUCGGGACUGAUUAUUUUGUGACUGAGUGGCGGACGGGUGAGUAACGCGUGGGUAACCUGCCUUGUACAGGGGGAUAACAGUUGGAAACGGCUGCUAAUACCGCAUAAGCGCACGGCAUCGCAUGAUGCAGUGUGAAAAACUCCGGUGGUAUAAGAUGGACCCGCGUUGGAUUAGCUAGUUGGUGAGGUAACGGCCCACCAAGGCGACGAUCCAUAGCCGACCAGAGAGGGUGACCGGCCACAGUGGGACUGAGACACGGCCCAAACGCCUACGGGAGGCAGCAGUGGGGAAUAUUGCACAAUGGGCGAAAUCCUGAUGCAGCGACGCGGCGUAAGCGAAGAAGUAUUUCGGUAUGUAAAGCUCUAUCAGCAGGGAAGAUAAUGACGGUACCUGACUAAGAAGCACCGGCUAAAUACGUG
rnacentral:rRNA from 1 species